AUCUGGAAACAGGUGCUAAUACCGCAUAACAACGAAAACCACAUGGUUUUCGUUUCAAAGAUGGUUUCGGCUAUCACUUCAGGAUGGGCCCGCGGUGCAUUAGCUAGUUGGUAAGGUAACGGCUUACCAAGGCAAUGAUGCAUAGCCGAGUUGAGAGACUGAUCGGCCACAAUGGAACUGAGACACGGUCCAUACUCCUACGGGAGGCAGCAGUAGGGAAUCUUCCACAAUGGGCGCAAGCCUGAUGGAGCAACACCGCGUGAGUGAAGAAGGGUUUCGGCUCGUAAAACUCUGUUGUUGGAGAAGAACGUGCGUGAGAGUAACUGUUCACGCAGCGACGGUAUCCAACCAGAAAGUCACGGCUAACUACGUGCCAGCAGCCGCGGUAAUACGUAGGUGGCAAGCGUUAUCCGGAUUUAUUGGGCGUAAAGCGAGCGCAGGCGGUUGCUUAGGUCUGAUGUGAAAGCCUUCGGCUUAACCGAAGAAGGGCAUCGGAAACCGGGGCGACUUGAGUGCAGAA
rnacentral:rRNA from 1 species